rnacentral:rRNA from 1 species
UACGGAGGGGGCCAGCGUUGUUCGGAAUCAUUGGGCGUAAAGGGCGCGUAGGCGGCCAAUCAAGUCCGACGUGAAAUUCCUCGGCUCAACCGGGGGCCUGCGUCGGAUACUGCUUGGCUUGAGUCCCGGAGAGGGUAGUGGAAUUCCCAGUGUAGCGGUGAAAUGCGUAGAUACUGGGAGGAACACCGGUGGCGAAGGCGGCUACCUGGACGGGUACUGACGCUGAGGCGCGAAAGCUAGGGGAGCAAACAGG